UACGUAGGGUGCGAGCGUUAAUCGGAAUUACUGGGCGUAAAGCGUGCGCAGGCGGUCUGCUAAGACAGGUGUGAAAUCCCUGGGCUCAACCUAGGAAUUGCGCUUGUGACUGGCAGGCUAGAGUACGGUAGAGGGGGGUGGAAUUCCUGGUGUAGCAGUGAAAUGCGUAGAGAUCAGGAGGAACACCGGUGGCGAACGAAGCCCCCUGGGCCUGUACUGACUCUCAGGCACGAAAGCGUGGGGAGCAAACAGG
rnacentral:rRNA from 1 species